rnacentral:misc_RNA from 1 species
ACACAAUAAUAUCCAAAACCUUUUGGAUCAACCCAACCUUAGUGAACCGUUUAUUCUUUACUUCAAUAAUUUUUUCUCUAAACUCAAUCUGAUUUGUAUAAUGUCUGAUCUUUUUUCUCGAAUAACUUUGAGAAAAAUCAUUCUAACGUAAUA